UUCUUAAAGGCUAAGGGAAUAUUUGAUCAUCACCGCAAAUAAAGGGCCUUCUAGGUAACCACUCUAAUGUUCUUGGCAAUGAAGGAGCAGCCUUCCAACGUAUGUUGCCGUGUACACCGCGUUAUCAUCUUCCAACUUUUCCAAACUUCUAUAUAAAGCCUUAACUCUUCAAACACUUUCCUACUUUUUUUUUUUCCAAAAUUUUAUACCUUCAUUAAUUUUUAUAACUUCAUAAAUCACAAAUCAUAUACUCUACUAUUUUGGUGUUUUUAACCUUCAACAACAAAUAUGAAUGAUCCCAAGUAUGCUUAUCCUUAUCCUUCUCAAGGUUACUACCAAGGUCCUCCGGUAAUGGCACCUCCUCAAUAUCAAUACGCAGCUCCACCACCACCGCCGCCUCGAAAAGAACGAGGUUUUCUUGAAGGAUGCCUUGCAGCUCUAUGUUGUUGUUGCCUGGUGGAUGAAUGUUGCUGUGAUCCAACAAUUAUUUGUGUUGAUUAAGAUUAAUCGAUGAUUAGUAGAUGAUUUCUUAGAACUUACUCUAAGCUUGAUUUAUGUUACUCAUCUAUGAUUUUAUGGAUAAUUUGGAAUGAUUUAAUGUUUGCACAAACUUGUUUAGUAAUAUUUAAUGUACAUUAUUGAUGCUUAGAUUUAUUAAACAGAGUAUGUGUUAUGCUUCAUAGUUGUUUUAUUCAUUGGAUCUUUGUCAAAUUUAA